AGCAAGAACUAAUUCAUUGUUUGUCUAAUUUAAGAUGGUGUGCCAUACCCUCCUCGUAUAUACCAUGGUUGACGAAGCUAGCCGCUUGCGCCUAUGGUUUAAUAUUUCUGGCUCUCGCCUUUAUGGCUGAAUAUUUGGGAGGAGUGCUUCAAGCCGCUUUGACGAUAUUCGGUGCAGUCGGAGGCCCACUAUUCGGGGUGUUCACACUUGGAAUGUUUACGACUUUCGCCAAUGAAAGGGGUACUUCCAUUGCUCUUUUGAGUGGAAUGGCGUUGACUUUGUGGAUCAGCUUUUGGUGGGCCUCGUCCACCCCCUGUCAAGUUACCUCUGAGCUUGGAAGCUUGUCCAUUUAAUGUCACUGCCCCAGUGCCGGCAGCAUUAAAAACUGUUGACUACUUCUAUCCAUACAGAAUAUCGUACUUGUGGACUAGCCCGAUCGGCUUCGUCUGGGUGCUAGCUGUGGGGUCCAUAAUAUCGUUGUUAUGGCGGCAGCAACACCCGUGGGAGCGAGCUAUGAAAUCGCAUCCCGACCCUGCUCUCUUCACUCCGCCUUUAGCCAAAAGGCUGAGAGCUAAGUAUAGAGAUAAAGCAGACGUGCAGUGUGAGCUAUUGAAGAAAAACGACGAGGAAGAACUUCAUUAAAGGUGCUACUUAAUUUUAUGUAUGUGUUCAUAUGUAACAGUUUUAUAAAACUAUUAUUUAUAAGUAGAA